CAUAUAGUAAAAAAUUAAAAAAUCUUAUUGUCUGAAGGUACAAGGCUUAGAGCUUUGAUAUUUGGUAUAUAAUAUCAUCUAUAGGUACUCUACCAAAGGUGUUCAAAUUUUGUCUCUAGUGUCAAAACUAGCCUGCCCAGGGGUCAUAGGCUAGAGGUUAGACAUUUUGCAUUAAACAAUGUGUAGUGAACCUCUAGCAAGAUUGUUCAAAUUAUAGCCCUGGGGUCAAAAUUGGCCCUGCCCCUGGGGAUCAUUGAUUUUCAGUCACUAUGUCAUAAAGUAAAAAAUUUAAAAUCUUCUUGUCUGAAGGUACUAAUCUGAUAAUAACAAUUAGAUAGGUAAGUGAUCUAUGCAUUAUGGCAAUCUGUAUAGAAACAAAAAUAUUGUGUUCCUACAUUAAUAUAGAGUGUUGUAUCAAUGUGGUGGCUUGGCAUUUUUUACAAAUGCAAUCUUGUUUUGGCAUCAUUUUUGUUACCACGGCAACCAAAAAUACACUUUUUUGUAAUCAUUGCAAUAAGGAAUAUAUAUGUUUUGCAUUGUAUUAAUAAUGUAUAUGCAACCAUGUUACAGCUAUGAGUUUUAUAGAGGACUUACUUAAGUAAUGAUAUUCACCUUAAUCAUAGAAAACUUACUGAUAAUCUGAGAAUUUAAGACUUAAGUUUAUAUUCUGUUAUUUAAAACAUUAUUAAGGGAAGAAUGAAAAAUCUAUUUUUUUCUUUUUCUGAAAGGUCUUAAAUCUGGUUGUCUUUAAAUACAUUAAUUUGGUGAUGAAUUAAUCAUGUCAAAUGCAAUAAUGUUGUAUUUGAAGUAUUUUUUUAUAUUUUUGUUGCCAUGGCAACCGAUUAUUGUUUUAUAGUUAUUUUAUAGUUUUUAUAUCAUUUAUUACAUAUUUCAUACAUAGAUGAAUGAUAACUUUAUAUUUUGUUUAUUUUAUUAUUCAAAACUAUGGAAUAAUUUCUAGUUUAUAUAUUAUACCAAUAAAAGUUUAAAAUGUAA